GAUGAACGCUGGCGGCGUGCCUAAUACAUGCAAGUCGAGCGAACAGACGAGGAGCUUGCUCCUCUGACGUUAGCGGCGGACGGGUGAGUAACACGUGGAUAACCUACCUAUAAGACUGGGAUAACUUCGGGAAACCGGAGCUAAUACCGGAUAAUAUAUGGAACCGCAUGGUUCAAUAGUGAAAGACGGUUUUGCUGUCACUUAUAGAUGGAUCCGCGCCGCAUUAGCUAGUUGGUAAGGUAACGGCUUACCAAGGCAACGAUGCGUAGCCGACCUGAGAGGGUGAUCGGCCACACUGGAAUUGAGACACGGUCCAGACUCCUACGGGAGGCAGCAGUAGGGAAUCUUCCGCAAAGGGCGAAAGCCUGACGGAGCAACGCCGCGUGAGUGAUGAAGGUCUUCGGAUCGUAAAACUCUGUUAUUAGGGAAGAACAAAUGUGUAAGUAACUAUGCACGUCUUGACGGUACCUAAUCAGAAAGCCACGGCUAACUACGUG
rnacentral:rRNA from 1 species